GACAGAGGAUGCAAGCGUUAUCCGGAAUGAUUGGGCGUAAAGCGUCUGUAGGUGGCUUUUUAAGUCCGCCGUCAAAUCCCAGGGCUCAACCCUGGACAGGCGGUGGAAACUACCAAGCUGGAGUACGGUAGGGGCAGAGGGAAUUCCCGGUGGAGCGGUGAAAUGCGUAGAGAUCGGGAGGAACACCAAAGGCGAAAGCACUCUGCUGGGCCACAACUGACACUGAGAGACGAAAGCGAGGGGAGCAAAAGGG
rnacentral:rRNA from 1 species